CCAAGUCAUCACUGUCGGAGGUAAUGUGGUGUGAGAAGAGCCAGAUUGGCCAGCCUGAGGGGCUCUAAGAUAAACUUUGGUAAUCUCUGAAGACUCUGACAGCAUUAAACGGCAUGUUGAAAGGACUUAUAAUCUGGAACUCAAGUUAAAAUAUAGCCCUGAAGAGGCUGUCAACCUCAGAUAUCCUGGAAACGCUACAGUGAGGUUAACGUCACUGAGGGAAAUAAUUGAUAUCUUGCAGCUCGGGAGCGAGCGUGUGAGGACGCAGGCAGCGCAUACCAGCCGUCUGGACCUCCAGCCCAUUCAGGGCUGUAUUUGUUACUGUGAGCAAGCAACUGCCUCUCAUGUGUCCGCACUUCUACACGCACGCACUGACUUCAGGCCACAUCUUGUUGACUUCUUCCUAAAUAAGCCUUCUGCUUUGCUUGCCACCGUGAGGCGAGUUUCCUAA
rnacentral:lncRNA from 1 species